CUUUUCGAGGUAGGAGUCGACUCCUGUGAGGUAUGGUGCUGGGUGCAGAUGCAGUGUGGCUCUGGAUAGCACCUUAUGGACAGUUGUGUCCCCAAGGAAGGAUGAGAAUAGCUACUGAAGUCCUAAAGAGCAAGCCUAACUCAAGCCAUUGGCACACAGGCAUUAGACAGAAAGCUGGAAGUUGAAAUGGUGGAGUCCAACUUGCCUGGACCAGCUUAAUGGUUCUGCUCCUGGUAACGUUUUUAUCCAUGGAUGACUUGCUUGGGUAAGGACAUGAAGACAGUUCCUGUCAUACCUUUUAAAGGUAUGGAGAGUCGGCUUGACUACACUGUGUGGAGCAAGUUUUAAAGAAGCAAAGGACUCAGAAUUCAUGAUUGAAGAAAUGCAGGCAGACCUGUUAUCCUAAACUAGGGUUUUUAAUGACCACAACAAGCAAGCAUGCAGCUUACUGCUUGAAAGGCUGGAGUGCAGUGGUGUAACCUCGGCUCACUGCAAUCUCCACCUCCUGGGUUCAAGUGAUUCUCCUGCCUCAGCCUCCUGAGUAGCUGGGACUACAGGUAUGUGCCACCACACCCAGCUAAUUUUUGUAUUUUUAGUAGAGAUGGGGUUUCACCAUGUUGGCCAGGAUGGUCUCAGUCUCUUGACCUUGUGAUCUGUCUGCCUCAGCCUCCCAAAGUGCUGGGAUUAUAGGCGUGAGCCACUGUACCCGGCCUCAUUUUAUAAUUAUUAGUUUAUUAAAACUUUUAUGUGUAUGAUUAGAACUUAAAA
rnacentral:lncRNA from 1 species